rnacentral:rRNA from 1 species
UACGUAGGGGGCAAGCGUUGUCCGGAUUUAUUGGGCGUAAAGAGCGUGUAGGCGGCCUGAAAGGUCAGCUGUGAAAACUCGAGGCUCAACCUCGAGACGUCGGUUGAAACCAUCUGGCUAGAGUCCGGAAGAGGAGAGUGGAAUUCCCGGUGUAGCGGUGAAAUGCGCAGAUAUCGGGAAGAACACCCGUGGCGAAGGCGGCGAUCUGGGUCGAUACUGACGCUGAGGUGCGAAAGCGUGGGGAGCAAACAGG